ACGCUCGUCUUCGGACGGGAGUGGCAGACGGGUGAGUAACACGUGGGAACGUACCCUUUGGUUCGGAAUAACGCAGGGAAACUUGCGCUAAUACCGGAUACGCCCUUUUGGGGAAAGGUUUACUGCCGAAGGAUCGGCCCGCGUCUGAUUAGCUAGUUGGUGGGGUAACGGCCUACCAAGGCGACGAUCAGUAGCUGGUCUGAGAGGAUGAUCAGCCACACUGGGACUGAGACACGGCCCAG
rnacentral:rRNA from 1 species